UUGUGUUUCCCUCUUUUUUUUUUGGUUUUUAGAAGUUCAGUUCCAAGUAGUAAAGGUGGGAAGGACCACAUGUAUUCAUUAUCAACUCAUGUUGCUGGCUGCAUUCUCAUUCCUUUUAGCCUUGAAACCACAAGGCAUGUGUCAGUGAUCAAGAUAACUUUGUCCAAGGAGCUGGAUGCAUCCUCUGUUGGGAGGCAUAUGAAGUAGCCAAAACUCUUCCUAAAGACAGAGUGACUAGAGCAUCA